AUGCCAGUUCUACCCUCCCCGAAUUGGAAAGAUUUUAAAUUACCCAUUGGUAAUUACUCCUCUGAUCAAUGUUGUAACCAGGAUCACCAGUCCAAAGUUAUCCUCAAAUCAGUUCUUGGUCACAGUACACCAAAAAAUAGACCUAAAAAGGGAACAAUAUACAACACAAAAUCGAUGUCUUUAGACUCAUAUUCAAAACUACCAAUGUACGAUUGCGGUUUUGUAACACAUAGGUUUCAUAUUAAUGGAGCAAAUGUUGGUCAAAGUUUGUCUCAACUAACUAAAAAAGAAAAUACUCCCUUUAAAUCCAUACUGCCAGAGUUGAUUAUAAAGCAUGACAAAGCAAAUUACAGGAAUAGUGAAUUGUUCUACUGUACAAACAAAUUAAAUCUUUGA
rnacentral:rRNA from 1 species